UACGAAGGGUGCAAACGUUGCUCGGAAUUACUGGGCGUAAAGGGCUCGUAGGUGGCCAACUAAGUCAGACGUGAAAUCCCUCGGCUUAACCGGGGAACUGCGUCUGAUACUGGAUGGCUUGAGUUUGGGAGAGGGACGCGGAAUUCCAGGUGUAGCGGUGAAAUGCGUAGAUAUCUGGAGGAACACCGGUGGCGAAGGCGGCGUCCUGGACCAACACUGACACUGAGGAGCGAAAGCCAGGGGAGCAAACGGG
rnacentral:rRNA from 1 species